UACGUAGGAUGCAAGCGUUGUCCGGUUUUAUUGGGUUUAAAGGGUGCGUAGGCGGCCUAUUAAGUUAGUGGUGAAAACGUUCGGCUUAACCGGAUACCCGCCAUUGAUACUGAUAGACUUGAGUGCGACAGAGGGUGUUGGAAUGUGUGGUGUAGCGGUGAAAUGCUUAGAUAUCACGCAGAACACCAAUUGCGAAGGCAGAUGCCUAUGUCGUAACUGACGCUGAGGCCCGAAAGCGUGGGGUGCAAACAGG
rnacentral:rRNA from 1 species